GUAGGUGGCAAGCGUUGUCCGGAAUUAUUGGGCGUAAAGCGCGCGCAGGCGGUCCUUUAAGUCUGAUGUGAAAGCCCACGGCUCAACCGUGGAGGGUCAUUGGAAACUGGGGGACUUGAGUACAGAAGAGGAAAGCGGAAUUCCAAGUGUAGCGGUGAAAUGCGUAGAGAUUUGGAGGAACACCAGUGGCGAAGGCGGCUUUCUGGUCUGUAACUGACGCUGAGGCGCGAAAGCGUGGGGAGCAAACAGGGAUUAGAUACCCUGGUAGUCCACGCCGUAAACGAUGAGUGCUAAGUGUUAGGGGGUUUCCCGCCCCCUAGUGCUGCAGCUAACGCAUUAAGCACUCCGCCUGGGGAGUACGCCGCAAGGCUG
rnacentral:rRNA from 1 species